rnacentral:rRNA from 1 species
UAUUGGGAUUCGACUAAGCCAUGCGAGUCGUGAGGGUUCGGCCCUCGGCGAACGGCUCAGUAACACGUAGAUAAUCUGCCCUUAGGUGGAGGAUACCCUCGGGAAACUGAGAAUAAUACUUCAUAGAUUUAGAAUGCUGGAAUGCUUUUAAAUUGAAAGAUUUAUCGCCUAAGGAUAAGUCUGCGGACUAUCAGGUCGUAGUUAGGGUAAAUACCUGACUAGCCUACGACGGAUACGGGUUGUGAGAGCACUAGCCCGGAGAUGAUAUCUGAGACACGAUAUCAGGCCCUACGGGGCGCAGCAGGCGCGAAAACUUCGCACUGUGCGAAAGCACGACGAGGGAAUCCCAAGUGCUGGCUCGUAAGAGUCAGCUGUUUCUUUGUCUAAAAAACAGAGAGAGUAAGAGCUGGGUAAGACGGGUGCCAGCCGCCGCGGUAAUACCUGCAGCUCAAGUGGUGGCCGCUAUUAUUGGGCCUAAAACGUCCGUAGCCGGUUCUAUAAAUGCCUGGGUAAAUCGUACGGCUUAACCGUACGAAUUCCGGGUAGACUGUUCAACUUGGGACCGGGAGAGGCUAGAGGUACUCCUGGGGUAGAGGUGAAAUUCUGUAAUCCUAGGGGGACCACCAGUGGCGAAGGCGUCUAGCUAGAACGGGUCUGACGGUGAGGGACGAAGCCCUGGGGAGCAACGGGAUUA